CUACCUACUUAGCAACUCAUUUCUAUUACUUAGAGCACCUGACAUGAGUGCUGGGAUCCCACCCGACUCUCAUCCCGUGCCAGAGUAGCAAGUUCUUUAACCACUGAGCCAUCGCUCCAGCCUGUAUUAUUUCAUUACUUUUUAAAGGGCUCAUCGAUCUAAAACUUGUCCAAACAAGAGCUCUCAGGAAGCACGCGGGAAUUGAGCGUGUUCUCUUGCUCACGGACGGGUUUAGUAGCUGCUACGCCUACUUCCAAAAACUCCCGUGAGACCUGCCAGGAUGCCCUCCUCCUUAGGUGGAGGAUGGAAGGACCGGGCCUUGAGCCAAGGAAGCGCCAGCUGGGUUGCUUUUCUUCGACUUCUUCUGAAACCUUUCUUCUCAAUUCCGUAAUAAAAAAUACAGCUGACGCUCGAAAAAGCCCAGGUUUGAAUGGUGUGGACCUACUAAGUGUGGACAGAGGUCCCAGUUCAUCAUCAGGGGACACCAAGGCAAGAACUCACGGCAGGAACCUGGAGGCAGAGACUGAAGUAGAAGCCAUGGAGGAACACUGCUUACUGACUUGCUGUCCACGGCUCAUCUAUGUUAUAUAGGCCAGGCUCACCUGCCUGGGAAUGGCACCGCUCAUAGUGGGCUGGACCCUCCUAUGCUAAUUAGCAAUCAAGAAAAUCGCCCCGGAUGUGCUUACAGUCCAUUCUAAGGGAACCAUUUCCUCAAAUGAAGUCCCCUCUUCCCAGGUGCCCAUAAAUGCAGUGCCUGCCAAGGACAGAAGAGGACGCCAUUUCCUGCAGCUGGAGUUAUAGGAUGUUGUAAGCCACCCCACAUGGGUGCUGGGAACUGAACUUGGGUCCUCUGGAAGAGUGACAAGCACCCUUAACUGAGCCACAGUGACACAAACAGCCGGAUGCUGGCACGUGCACAGCCGGGUGGACCAAUGGGCCAGGCAGAGAUAAAGCCACAUAGCUGUGUGCAUCUGAAGCUCAGCGAAGAUGCCCAGAGCAUGCAUUGGAGAAAGGACAGCUUCUGCUCACACGGUGCUGGAAAAGUCGGAUCCUUGACUCUUGCUCAGCAGAAAACCCAACUCAGGAUGAAUCAAAGGCAGGAGUGUUAAACACAACGAUUUCAAAGGCCAUCCCAGAGGGCGUACUUCAAGACACACAGGCAUAGGCUUUCUGCAUAGGACUUGAGUGGCCCAGGAAAUAACAGCCAGAAUCGACAGUGACAUGAGAUCAAAAACCCACAUAGCAAAGGGAGCUAUUUACUGCCCUCUAAAAGGCUGCUCUGUACUUCCGUGGAAUCUACAGCUUUCUUCAGAUUUACUUUAACUACACAGUUUCUGUUUCUUGUAAGUCAGUAAGGCCAGCAAGUAAGAUACCAAUAUGCACUAGGGCCCAGCUAAGUUGUUCCUUGGCAGGAUGAGAUGGAGGGACCUCAGGAAGGCCAUCUGGGCAGGCCUUGUACAAAUGGAAUCCGCUACAAUGUCACCUAUGAUGACAUUGAAUGGGAGGCCUGGAGUGAUGGUUUAGUGACUAAGAGCACUGGCUGCUAUUUCAGAGACUGAGUUUGAAUUCCCAGCACCUACACAGCAGUUCGUGACUGUAACUCAAGCUCUAGAGGUUAAGCACCAGGCACUCAUGUGGUCCUAGACUUUGUCUUGGUUAGAGCUACUGUUGCUGAAAUGGCCAAAAGCAACUUAGGGAGGAAAUGAUUCUUUGCCUUAUACUUCCAUGUCCCUGUUCAUCACUGAAGGAACUCAGGACAGGAACUCAAGUAGGGCAGGAACCUGGAGACAGGAGCUGAUGUAGAAACCAUGGAGGAGUGCUGCUUACUGGCUUGCUCCUCAUGGCUUGCUCAGUCUGUUUUCUUAUAGAACCCAGGACCACCAGCCCAGUGAUAGCACCACCCGCAAUGGGCUGAGUCCUCCCCCAUUAUUCACUAAUUAAGAAAAUGCCCUACAGGCUUCCCUAUAGCCUGAGCUCAUGAAGGCAGUUUCUCAAAUGAUGUUCCCUCCUCUCUAAUGACUAUAGCUUCUUCACAUAGUUCACAUAAAACUAACCACCAUAGACACAUGUGGGGCUAAACAACCAUACACAUACAAUAAAAUAAAAAUAAUUUUAAAGAAAGAAAGAAAGAAAGAAAGAAAGAAAGAAAGAAAGAAAGAAAGAAAGAAAGAAAAAAAGAAAGAAAGAAAUUGAAUGAAUGACCCAGGCAUGGUGACACACACUUGUAAUCCGAGUAUCUGGCAGGAGGAUCAUGAGUUCAAGGAUAUUCUGGGCUAUGAGGUGUCACGUUGUUUCAAAACCAUAGCAAAGAAAAAGGGAGGAGGAGGAGAAAGAGCCGAGGAGGAAGGAUAAGGAGGAGGGGGAAGAGAGGAGGAAGGACAGGACUUGGAUCCAUGCUCUACUCUUUAAAAUAAAAAAUGGGAGGCUGGAGAAAUGGCUCAGCUCUUAAGAGGAUCUGCAGAGGCUCUGAGUUUGGUUCCCAGUACCCAUGUCAAAUAGUUCACAACUGUGUGGAACUCCACCGCCGGGAGAUUUGGCACCCUCUUGUGACUUCCUGGGACAUGCACAUGCGCACACACAGGUAGGUAUACCUAAUUAAAUAAUAAGUCUUUACAACAAAACUUAAAAGGAAGAUAAAUUUUUUAUGAUAAAAUAGAUACCAUGGAAACCACUUUAAACAUACUGUUCAACACUGUUAAGCACAUUCACGACAUUCAAUGUACAGGAUGAUUUUGUAGCUUUUUUCCCCCCUGUUUUAAAACGGAAACCGGACCUAGUGAACACAGCUCUCCCCUCCCUCCCACCCCAGUAUGCAUCCCUCUACUCACUGUUUCUAUGAACGUGACCCCUUUAGGGCCCUCCCAGAUGGAAGCAUGGCCUUGUUGGGGCUCGCUCAUUUCACUAGCACAGUAUCCUCAGAUUUCCUCCACGACAGCAACACCAGACUUUUCUUUCUGCUGGGUGGUAGUACAUGCCUAUAAUUCCAACACUCAGGAGGCUGAGGCAGGAGGAUUGAAGGUUGGAAGGUUGGGUGAAACCAAAUCACAGACAAACAAAUAAAAGCAUCCCUUUUUGAAGCUUAUUAGCAUGAUAUAGUAACUCCUCCAUUUUUUAGUUUAUCCGUUGUCAGUGAACACUUGAGUUGCUUACAAUAUCUGACUUCUGUAAAUAAUGUUGCUUUGAACAAGCGUGUACAAAAGAAUUUUUGAGACUUUGCUUCCAAUUCUCUUGGAUAUAUACCCUGAAUCACAGUUGCUAGAUUAUAUAAAGAUGAGGACCUAAUAUUGAUGAUGUCACAGAAGCCAGUGACAUCAAACUAGACCAAUGACUCAUCGCAAUGGGCAUUUGCAAAUGAAGUUGUGUGGACAGAGGGGUAUAGUGUGGGACACACUGUGACACACUACACCUUCCAUGAGAUGUUUUCUAUG